GAUGCUUUAUUGAACUUUAUACCUUGCCUUUUAAAAGACAAGGUGGCAAUGCAAAUUAGAGAUAGCCCUCAAAUAGUCAAACAACCCUUUAUAACGAGGAAAUUUAAAAUGUUUAAAAACUUGAUAUAAUUAAACCUGUGAUUUUAUCCAAGGAUUUGACUUUUGUUCAUUUUGCAGUAAAAACAUGUCACGUUUAAUUUUCUGUUUGCAAUUUGAUAUCUUAGAAUGAAUAAAUUUUUUGCAAUCAAUUUAUUUAGUUUGAAUUCUGAUUUUUCCUUAUCUUAUUUACAACUGAUAAUUUAAAAACUUCGAACCCAGUGGAGUUGGAAGGUUUGAAAAAAGCACAUAUUCGAGAUGGCGUUGCAGUGGUGCAAUAUCUUGUCUGGUUGGAUAAGCAGGAGAUAUAUGGGGUUUCUGGUUACUUUUUGGAGGGAGACGAAGUGACUAAGAAAAAGCAAUUUAAGUGCUAAUCUAUUUAAAGCAUGCUAUACUGCAGUAAGUGCUAAUCUACUUUAUUUUUCCUUUUUAUUAUCAUUAUUAUUAUUAUAUUUUUUCAAGUCUUGCAAAGUAAUUUUCUUUGCUUCAUUUUGCAGGUCCUCA